UAAAGUGAAUUUUCGCCAACCGGUCUGAGAUGAAGCUCUGUGAAACAGCAUGGCAAAAGAACAAGGCUGCGUGCCAUUCAACUUUAAUAAGUCAUGGGAGAAGAUAUUGUUUAGCCUUUCAGAGUUUAUACUUUCAGAUUUGUAACUGUAAGUAAUUAAAAGGAGGCAAGCCAUCUUGGACUGUCUAUGCUCCAGCACUUACAGGGCCCAGUGUCCUGCAUCUGGCAUGGCUCAGGGGUCUGUGUCCUUUUUGAAAGGGAAGGGACUAAUUGGGUUGGCUGCUCCUUGCUAGUGGUGCAGGCAGCUCUGUGGGCAGUGGGGAGAGUUCAUGGGGUGUCCAGGCUGGCUAGGGAAAAAGAAGAACAGUGCUAAACUUUUCCCUUCUUGCAAAGCAGCUUUUUUGUUUUGAAAUAAAUAUAAAAUAUCUCCAGUAUUUUGGACCCUUGUGCAAAGCUUUGGAUCCUGAAGAUCUGAGCUGAGGAGUGAGUGCACAUGCAAAGCCACAGCAGAGCUGUGACCCCACACCACCUUUGGGAGGCAUGUGUGACCAGCAGCUGGGAGCAGGCUGGGGAGGCAUGCAGAGGUGGCAGAUCUCCUUAGGAGUCUGAUCUGGCUUGUAAAAUGCACCAGGAAGGAUCCUGGAGUUCUAGUCCACAGAGUCACCUAGGGCAAAACAAGAGGCAGGACAGAGAUUUGGGAGGCUAAAUCUAGGCAUCUUAAAACCAGCAAGACUUCCAUGGCAGUGCUCUCUGAAAGGUUUACAGUACUUUCUGCACAGGGCAAAAGACAGAAGCCAAAAGACAGGGAUUUAAUGUCCAGCAGAAAAGAUUGUAGAUGAGCAGGGACUCAGAAUCAUAGGAAUGAGGCAUUCUUCUGUUAUGCAGAAUAUGUAUACAGGCAUAUGAGCUCUGUAUAGACAUUUAAAGACACCAAACUUCUAGCACUUAAAACAAGAACAUUGUGAAUGAGUUUUUAAACUGAAGAGCAUUAAAGGAAGCUGGUGGGUAUGAAAGACCUCACAGUCUGAGACAAUUCUUUUGUACCGGAUUCCAUACCCAAACAGGAGACAGAUUAGAACAUUGAUAGUCACAUAAGAAAUGGAAAACUGUCAUUUGGUCUGCAUGCUUCUGGAGGAUAAACAAGCAGGAGCAGGAGAGCACACUGAUGAGAGAGGUAUUGACACAUAUGACCAAACUCUAUAUUUCACUGCAUAGUCAUUUAAGCCUUUUCAAAAAGUGUGUGCUGUCUUUGUCAUCCACUGUUUGAGCUCUCCAUAUGAUUACACAUGUAGUUGUAGUCACUGGACCUGUAUACUGAAGUGGGUAUGAAUGUUCAUUGUAUAUUUUUUUUGUUUUAUUUUAAGGGAUAAAAAUUAUAGUGAAAAUUUGUCCUCUGAGAAGGGUUUUUUCAGUCACUGUGACUGGAAAAGCCAGGGGCAGUACACAUCAUGCGCUGUUACCCACAUUUUAGUACAUUCAGGUACAAAUACAAAUGGACUCUGAAUGUUCAACAGCUGUUCCAUAGCUGAACAUCUGUGCUAAAGCACAGUGGAAGAAGGACUAAAAAAAAGCGCCAGGUGUCUAGAGCACUUUAAAUACAACAGACUGCCUGACUGCUGCUGCACAGUCCUGCCAGCUGUCUUCUGGGGUUUAGGUACCAGGAAAGCACUUGGGGUCAGAGCCAGAGACCUUGAACUGAUAGUAUCAGAACAGAGGAUGAUUUAUUUUUGUUAAGUCCUUAACAUGGACAUUUGCACAAUCAUUUAAAGAGGGUAAGUACUACUCCUGUGGAGGCAUGUUGGUUUCCUUGGGCAAAUUUGGGACAAUAAUUAGGAACUUCAGCAAAACUACUUAAAAUUCAGGAGGACCACUGAGACAAAACACAGACCUAAAUUAAAAGUGUAGAAUACAGUAUCAAAAGAAAGAAAAGCUGUCACUGGUUCAUAGGAGAAAAAGGAAAACCAGGUAGUACCAUCAUGACAGAAAAAAAUAUCUGUUGGGCAUCAGCUAUUCUUCAGGAAACAUAUAAAAUAAAUGAUAGAAUGAAAGAACGUAUUGACACGUAAAGUGAAGACUCCUUUAGUCACGGUGGGGGAGACUUUCUUAUU